AGAUGGUUAUCUUGUACUGAAUACAUAGGUGCAAGAGGCGAACCAGGGGAACUGAAACAUCUAAGUACCCUGAGGAAAAGAAAUCAACCGAGAUUCCCUUAGUAGUGGCGAGCGAACGGGGACUAGCCCUUAAGUGGCUUUGAGAUUAGCGGAACGCUCUGGAAAGUGCGGCCAUAGUGGGUGAUAGCCCUGUACGCGAAAGUCUCUUAGUCAUGAAAUCGAGUAGGACGGAGCACGAGAAACUUUGUCUGAAUAUGGGGGGACCAUCCUCCAAGGCUAAAUACUACUGACUGACCGAUAGUGAACUAGUACCGUGAGGGAAAGGCGAAAAGAACCCCGGAGAGGGGAGUGAAAUAGAUCCUGAAACCGUAUGCGUACAAGCAGUGGGAGCCCACUUUGUUGGGUGACUGCGUACCUUUUGUAUAAUGGGUCAGCGACUUAUUUUCAGUGGCGAGCUUAACCGAAUAGGGGAGGCGUAGCGAAAGCGAGUCUUAAUAGGGCGUCUAGUCGCUGGGAAUAGACCCGAAACCGGGCGAUCUAUCCAUGGGCAGGUUGAAGGUUAGGUAACACUGACUGGAGGACCGAACCGACUACCGUUGAAAAGUUAGCGGAUGACCUGUGGAUCGGAGUGAAAGGCUAAUCAAGCUCGGAGAUAGCUGGUUCUCCUCGAAAGCUAUUUAGGUAGCGCCUCAUGUAUCACUGUAGGGGGUAGAGCACUGUUUCGGCUAGGGGGUCAUCCCGACUUACCAAACCGAUGCAAACUCCGAAUACCUACAAGUGCCGAGCAUGGGAGACACACGGCGGGUGCUAACGUCCGUCGUGAAAAGGGAAACAACCCAGACCGUCAGCUAAGGUCCCAAAGUUAUGGUUAAGUGGGAAACGAUGUGGGAAGGCUUAGACAGCUAGGAGGUUGGCUUAGAAGCAGCCACCCUUUAAAGAAAGCGUAAUAGCUCACUAGUCGAGUCGGCCUGCGCGGAAGAUGUAACGGGGCUCAAACCAUACACCGAAGCUACGGGUAUCACGCAAGUGAUGCGGUAGAGGAGCGUUCUGUAAGCCUGUGAAGGUGAGUUGAGAAGCUUGCUGGAGGUAUCAGAAGUGCGAAUGCUGACAUGAGUAACGACAAUGGGUGUGAAAAAC
rnacentral:rRNA from 1 species